CUGGAACAUCAGCUGUUCUCUAGGUCUCAAGUCUGCUGCUCUAACCUACAAAUUUUGGACAUGCCAAUCUCCACAGUCACAUGGGCCAAUUCCUUAGUUUCUCUGGAGAAUCCUGACUAAUGUAUGCAAUGUCUUUAUUUCAUCCUCAUUCUUAAAGGAUAUUUUCAUCAGCAACACCACACCCUCCUGAUCACCAUAGCUUUAUGCAACAACAAGAAACAAAUUUAUUAGCUAACCUAACCACUAAUGAGGCAAGUGGCAAUUCUAAGGACUUUCAAAACAGCAAAGUAGGAGCAGCUGCUACCUCUAGGGAUGUGGGAAGCAAUUGUCCAAUUAUUAGUGAAAUUGUCAUUUCAUGCUAUCGGCUAUUUGAAAUUCCUCCUCUAAUUUCAGAUUAACUCACUGAAAUUGACAUCGGCCAGUCUGAAUUUCAAGAAAUUACCUGCUGGAGACAAGAGGGAUCUCUUCUUCAGAUUUGCAGUCUGGGGAAGACAGCCUCUAUUGUACUUUAGAACCUGAGAUAUGGUGGUGGAGGGAGCCCUGGGUCAGUAGGAGUGGGGUCGGAGUGGUAAGAUUCACCCUUAGGUUAGUAUUGACGUAAGGUGACGAGGAGCUGUAGACAAAAGAUUGUAACCAUAAGAACUUCAUAGUUUUUGUAUUUUCACUGAGUUUAUAUUUGGUGUGUUUU
rnacentral:lncRNA from 1 species